rnacentral:tRNA from 1 species
GCGAGAGUAGCUCAGUUGGUAGAGCGUCAGCCUUCCAAGCUGAAUGUCGCGAGUUCGAGUCUCGUCUCUCGCUCCA